rnacentral:rRNA from 1 species
UGCAAGGUUAAGCGGAAAAAGCGGAGCCGUAGCGAAAGCGAGUCUGAAUAGGGCGCAUAAGUAACAGGUCGUAGACCCGAAACCAGGUGAUCUACCCAUGUCCAGGAUGAAGGUAAGGUAAUACUUACUGGAGGUCCGAACCCACGCACGUUGAAAAGUGCGGGGAUGAGGUGUGGGUAGCGGAGAAAUUCCAAUCGAACUUGGAGAUAGCUGGUUCUCUCCGAAAUAGCUUUAGGGCUAGCCUCGAGGUAAAGAGUCAUGGAGGUAGAGCACUGUUUGGACUAGGGGCCCUUCUCGGGUUACCGAAUUCAGAUAAACUCCGAAUGCCAUGUACUUAUACUCGGGAGUCAGACUGCGAGUGAUAAGAUCCGUAGUCGAAAGGGAAACAGCCCAGACCACCAGUUAAGGUCCCCAAAUAUAUGUUAAGUGGAAAAGGAUGUGGGGUUGCUUAGACAACCAGGAUGUUGGCUUAGAAGCAGCCACCAUUGAAAGAGUGCGUAAUAGCUCACUGGUCGAGUGACCCCGCGCCGAAAAUGUACCGGGGCUAAACAUAUUACCGAAACUGUGGAUGAACCUCUUUAGAGGUUCGUGGUAGGAGAGCGUUCUAAGGGCGGUGAAGUCAGACCGGAAGGACUGGUGGAGCGCUUAGAAGUGAGAAUGCCGGUAUGAGUAGCGAAAGAAGGGUGAGAAUCCCUUCCACCGAAUAUCUAAGGUUUCCUGAGGAAGGCUCGUCCGCUCAGGGUUAGUCGGGACCUAAGCCGAGGCCGAUAGGCGUAGGCGAUGGACAACAGGUAGAGAUUCCUGUACCAGUGCUAAUUGUUUAACCGAUGGGGUGACACAGAAGGAUAGGGAAUCGCACGAAUGGAAAUGUGCGUCCAAGCAGUGAGUGUGAGAAGUAGGCAAAUCCGCUUCUCGCGAAG